UUUCGGCCAUGCUACCUCAUUUAAUCUGCAUAACAAAGUCACCGGGUGAGUACUACCAUUAUACCCAUUGUAAAGAUUUGGAAGCUGAGGCUCAGGGAUUUUAAGGAAUUUACCCAAGAUAAAUAAAUGGUGGGGCUAGGAUUCACGCCCAGGUCUGUCUGAGAUCAUGGUCCACCAGAGGGUUAGCAAUGACACUCUCCUGCUCCUCUCCUCACUUUUACACUUUUAAAUCUUGCCUAUCCCCAUCUUGCCUUCUCCAGACUCCCUGCUCCAGGCACCUCUCAGAACCUGUUUAUCUAUCUGUAAAGUGGACACAUUAAUCCCUGCCCAUUUCAUAGUGACGGCCCAUGAGGAUGAGGACAUUCUGUACAUUGUCAAGGGCUGGGUGGUGCCGAGGUAGUGGAAGACGCAGCAGGGACCUGCCCGAGGCCACCUCGAGGUGGCAGGAGAAACCAACCAGGAUGGCCUCCUUUGGACUGGUAGAUUCUCUGCGAUCCUUGGAUUUACCUCAGGAGAAAAAAAGGUGCAUCUCUCACUAUCACCAAGUGGAGUACCAGUAACCAUGAUACAAACAGAAGCUUGAAAAAUGCUGGUACUUUGGGUGUUUCAUCUUGGAACUCUCAUGGAAUCGCCAUGUGAGGAAACCUAGCUUGGACCAUCUUCCUUGAGGAUGAAAGACCACAUGGAGAGGGAGGCCCAGCCAUCCCCACUGUCCUAGCUGAACUCAGCCCUCAGCCAUUCCUCCAACUGAAUGAAGCUGCACAAGCAAGCCCUGGAAAAACCAGCAGAAGAAUGCAGCCAAUCCACAGA